UUAGAUCAAAUGUGCAGCAAAUGUGCACUGUCGACUCGACAGUCUUGUCUGCUGAAGUCGUUCACACAAGAUGAGUAACACGAGUAACGAACUCAUUUAAAUUUAAGUAAUAUUGCUUAAAAAAUAUUCUACGUUUCAUGCUCGUGGAAUGCGUUACUCCCAAUACUGGGGAAGACUUAUUAGGCUACAUUUAUCAUUUUUACCGAAUAUCUGAAUUUUGAGGGUCUUUCUGUGAGGCUGAAUAUCAUCAGCAGCAUGCAAUGGCUAGCUACAAGGAAAUGGGGUCUGCCUACCCUGCCAGGGCCUGGGCUCUGAAGGCUGGCAGGUGGACGCGGGCCUGGACUCUCCCUCUAACACUCAUUAGUGGCGCAGAGCCCGGGCUCCCUGUGAGUGGGAAGGCAGGGAUCACAGCGGGGAAGUGAUGGCCCGGGCCUCUCACAUCCCGGCUCAGCCCUCGCUCCGGCUCCUUCAGCCUCCCUGGAAGCUCAUUAAUGUGAACUGAAGUGCAACAGGAAUGUGAAACUACAGAAGCAUGAAGCUGAAUGCUUUGGAGGUUUUCUGCGGUCACUAUUGAGUGCUAUUCAAGAAAGAAGGUCAGCUCCCAAACCAAGGCCAGACAAAAGGUGAGAUGAGGCAAGCGAAGCAAUCUUUGGUCAAUAUGAAACAGAAAAUCUCCCCACAAUACUGACAUGAA